GGACAGAUAAGCUAAGUAAAGCUUAUGGGCUCAUGCCCCAUCGAUAGGGUUUCCCUUCUUUCCA
rnacentral:tRNA from 1 species